AUUAAGAAUAUUUAAAUGUAUCUAACUUCAUUAAUAGGUUGUGCUUCACUCAGCACACUUGGUCAAGAAGUUUAGGUGGCAACAGAGCAUGUAUUGUCCUAUUUCUUUUAGUAGCUUGAUCAACCAUGGGAGAUCGAUCGAUGACCCAAGCAAAUCUUUAGAGAAUUAACGCGACUUUUACCACGACUAGCUCCUAAAUGCUUUAAUAGAACACAUGGCGGCUUUAUCAAAUCAAGUGAACAACACCAACAACAAUGAGAAUCAGCAAAGAGGCAGGGGAGGAGAACAUAAUAGGUUAUGCGGGGUGGAAUUAAUCGUCUUUAUAAUACAUAUAUUAAGUGUCUUCAUGGCAAGAGAAGUGUGGUAUAAUACACAACUGAGUUCUUUUAUUUUUCUUAGCGCAAUAAAUUAGGAGAAUUAGAGAUCCAAAAAAUGGCUCGAUAUAUUAGUGGCUUAAAGGGAUCCUUGCAGGAGAAGAUGGAUUUAUAAA